rnacentral:rRNA from 1 species
AUUGAACGCUGGCGGCAGGCCUAACACAUGCAAGUCGAGCGGCAGCGGGAAAGUAGCUUGCUACUUUUGCCGGCGAGCGGCGGACGGGUGAGUAAUGCCUGGGAAAUUGCCCAGUCGAGGGGGAUAACAGUUGGAAACGACUGCUAAUACCGCAUACGCCCUACGGGGGAAAGCAGGGGACCUUCGGGCCUUGCGCGAUUGGAUAUGCCCAGGUGGGAUUAGCUAGUUGGUGAGGUAAUGGCUCACCAAGGCGACGAUCCCUAGCUGGUCAGAGAGGAUGAUCAGCCACACUGGAACUGAGACACGGUCCAGACUCCUACGGGAGGCAGCAGUGGGGAAUAUUGCACAAUGGGGGAAACCCUGAUGCAGCCAUGCCGCGUGUGUGAAGAAGGCCUUCGGGUUGUAAAGCACUUUCAGCGAGGAGGAAAGGUUGUUGGCUAAUACCCAGCAGCUGUGACGUUACUCGCAGAAGAAGCACCGGCUAACUCCGUGCCAGCCGCCGCCGUAACAC